GUGUGUGUGUGCUAUGGCCUGGGUGGGGCCUUAUAUAGACAGAGGUUUAGUGGAGAUUAGUUUGUCCAAGUCUAAACCAGAUCUAGCUUAAUUAUUCUUGGAAGAUGUAAGAAACUGGAGAGAAUCGUCUGGUGAAGUGAACAUAAAAAAGUCGAUCGAAGUUGGCUCCAAUUAAAGCUUGAGCAGUGAACCAGUUGACUAAUGGUUCUAGGGCUCUAUCACUGUAGCAAUCUAUGAGCUGCCCUAUCAUGGGUUUUAGUCCAUUCCAUGAUAUGGUGCAGCAUUAUGGGUUGAAUCACUGGAUGCACUUAAUAGUUAUAUAUGUUCUGAGCUGGAAAGCAUCUUGAUUUCCCAAGCCCUCUGGUUUUUGGUCUAUUAGAUCUAUAAGCAUAUAAAAUGGAAAUGCAAUCAAUGAGUGUUUCCAUUUCCUUAAGCCCUCACAAUCACACAGAAAUUGUGCAGAUCCAACUUCUCAACAUAUAUAUAGUUACUGCCAUAUUUGUGCAGUUUCAGACUCGUAAUAGAUACUGCUGGUUCAGUGGUUCCUUAGAGGUCGCAUAAUGAGAUUGUGAUAGUCUUAUAGUUGAAUCUUUGGAAGGAGUAUGAAAAAGCUUCUUGGUCUACUAGGUUAGUAUUUACUAGGUCGGUGGAUCUAAUGCUUUAAUGAAAGGAUGAUAUUCACUGGGGUUUAACAACCUAUGAACUGAUGCAACUAUGCAUGUCAUGUUGUUCUUCCAUAGGCAAAUUGAACUGGAAGUCAGCUGCAGAUCACAAGGUCCUGCACAAAAGAUAUGCCAGAAAAUCUGUUACAUAAAAGUUUGUGUUUUAACUCUUGUGCUAGUUGUGCAUGUGCAUGCUUCCCCACAUGACCAUGGUCUGAGGCUCCCAGCACAACUCAUCAUGUUUUGAUGCUUUGGGUAGCUGAAACUAACUAUUGGUACUAAGCAAAGUGCUAAGUCAGCUAGAUUUGCUAUGCAUGCUCAUAUAUAGGGAGUGAUAACAGCACUGUGUGGUCUAAAUCUGAAUUCUCUUGUGCAGUUCAGGGAUAGAUUUAAGUCUUUCCGAUCUUCUGUUCAAGAAAAAUCUGUCAUCUGUUCAAGUUGUUGGUGGGUGAUUAUACCAAUUCAACCAAUUUUUCAUUCAGGUGUAUAGGCUGGCAGUUAUUUACCAGGGCCUUCUCCUUUGGAAGCACGGCUUGCAUGCAUUUGGUAUCCAAAGUGGCUGGAAGGACUCACCUGCCUUCUUUGACGCAAGGCAUCGACAAUCUGAUAUACCAAAUUUGGUGGUGUAGUUGUAUCAUUCUGAGCUCCAAGGAUCUCAAUGGGGCACUUGAUCUCUGAGUAGCAGUUGAACUAGACUUAAGAACAAUGGUCUAGUUCUUCACCCACAAGAGUACCGAAGGUAAAAAGGGUUCACCUCUCAUAUCAUCUGCGGUCACUGCUGAAGGAUGGGAAAUGACUAUUGCUUCUACCUCGUUCGUUUUUGCCACCUCCACCGCGAAUUUCCCUGUUAGUUAAUCAGGACAGGAAAGAGAGUAUGAACCAAAUGUUAUCCCAGAAAAAUGAAUACGAACUAAGCCGAAAUGCAGGAUCUUUCUGGGAAUGCUAAAUGUGGAUUCUUUGAUUUCCAAGAUUUUUGUUCCUGAUACA